CUACCAUGCAGUCGAGCGAUGAAACUCCUUUGGGAGUGGAUUAGCGGCGGACGGGUGAGUAACACGUGGGUAACCUACCUCAAAGAGGGGGAUAGCCUCCCGAAAGGGAGAUUAAUACCGCAUGAUAAUCAGUUUUCACAUGGGAAUUGAUUUAAAGGAGUAAUCCGCUUUGAGAUGGACCCGCGGCGCAUUAGCUAGUUGGUAGGGUAACGGCCUACCAAGGCGACGAUGCGUAGCCGACCUGAGAGGGUGAUCGGCCACAUUGGAACUGAGAGACGGUCCAGACUCCUACGGGAGGCAGCAGUGGGGAAUAUUGCACAAUGGGCGAAAGCCUGAUGCAGCAACGCCGCGUGAGUGAAGAAGGUUUUCGGAUUGUAAAGCUCUGUCUUUGGGGACGAUAAUGACGGUACCCAAGGAGGAAGCCACGGCUAACUACGUGCCAGCAGCCGCGGUAAUACGUAGGUGGCAAGCGUUGUCCGGAAUUACUGGGCGUAAAGAGUGCGUAGGCGGAUAUUUAAGUGAGAUGUGAAAUACCCGGGCUUAACCCGGGCACUGCAUUUCAAACUGGAUAUCUAGAGUGCGGGAGAGGAGAAUGGAAUUCCUAGUGUAGCGGUGAAAUGCGUAGAGAUUAGGAAGAACACCAGUGGCGAAGGCGAUUCUCUGGACCGUAACUGACGCUGAGGCACGAAAGCGUGGGUAGCAAACAGGAUUAGAUACCCUGGUAGUCCACGCCGUAAAC
rnacentral:rRNA from 1 species